UGGGUUUCUCUCUCUUUCAGAGUCAGCUCUCUUCAGGAUGCGCAUUUAUUUCUCCCUUUGGAGGAGGCCUCAGUCCACCUCAGCCAAGGACUGAAAGGCACAUCUGGCUAAUUCAAGACUGGGGUAUUGGGAGGUCCCCUUGGCCCCAGAUCUAUGAUAUGUUCUCAAGUCCUGAGACCUGCUGACUCUCGUGUCUCAUUUCUCAGUUGGGUCAUAUCUUGGUGUUAUUUGUGUUCCCAGCUCUAACAGGAAGGUUCCUAAGCACUCAUUUCUUCUUAACCAAUUUCUGAAGAAAGGCUUUUACAUCAAAUAUUGAUAAUGAUAAUAAUAAUGAACACAUGUUGAGCACUUACCAUGUCUCAAGCACUGCUCUAGAGCUUCCCAUGAAAGAACCCCUCUAAUCUUCAGAACAACCCUGUGAGGAGCUGCUGUUAAAUGAACACCUUGAUAUCUUCAUUCUUGGAGAGAAAUGAGCCAAGGAGGAAGACCAUCUAAAAAAUACCACUAGACAAUUUGUGCUCACUGGAGUGGUAUCUGCUGGGCAAAAGGUCUUUAGAAUGACUCGUGGAUUUUCUGGCAAGUGGCAAACCACACAAGUGCUAUGUCAGGCCAGGAAGACAGGUGCAGCCCUGUCAGUGUCAAAGAAGAACACUGGUAGCAGAAGAGCUAAGAGUGAAUGAAAAUUGAAUUAUCUUUAUUUCUAGGACUUGUCUAUUGAGAAACAACAGUGCUGGCAACCAUUUACUACCAACAAGAGGCAGUUCCAAGAGAAGAAUAUAAAAUAUGCUCUGCUCAAUCCCACAAAACUCAGAGUGUCUCACAAUGGCCAAUUUCUUAUUUUUACCCUGUCCAGAGACAAGGAAGGAUGUAUCAGGGAGCUGCUAGCCUCUGCGAUGAAUAACUUGAGUCAGGCUGCAACAUGUGAAAGAAUUCAGCUGAUCAGGAUUUAUAACACUAGCUGGAUUUUUUGCUUUCUUUGGGGUUCAUGAAGCGUGGUGUUGUGAGAUACCACAGGAUUCCCAGAAUAAAGUUACAUACCUAUUUCUCUUCCUUAUUUUUAUUUUUUUGGCACGUUCAUACCAUUUUAUUACCAACAUCGUUGGCAUCCCUGAGUAUGAGAGUUCAGAAGAAACUUAGAGGCUAUUGUCUGAUUCAAUCCUUGCAGCUUACAAAAAGAAAUGUGGGGAGCAGUCACUGUGUGACUAGCCUGAGGUCACUCAGGAAGUUAGAGGCAGAACUGCAGCCAGGGUCACCUCUCUUUACUGCUACUAGUGUGCUCUUUCUACUGCACCCUGAUCAUAAAACAUCUCCCAACCCAGGAACAAGGUCUACCGCAUAGGUGGUCACAGCAGCAUGAUCACUAUCUCAGUCAUCUGUACUCCUCCUUUGCUUUGACCAAAGACACAGGAAGGGACCUUUUGCCCCACAUAAAACACCUCUCAGAGGCUUGGCAACAACAACAGAUAAUAGAGAGCAUUGACCUAAGACCAACAUUUCAACCAUGGUGUCAAAACAAUAUUUUAUUUCAGCAAAGAAAAACUAUGUCACAAGUGGAUUAUUAUUACUAAUAAUCAGACUAGUGGUACUUGCGAAUGACUUGGUUUCAUACUCACACUUGGACAACUAUGCACACUGAGUAUAACUGACCUUAUGAGAACAUCAUUCUCACUAAGAUUAUGAUGUGCUUUCUCACGUGAGAACUGUACAUAAUAUUGUGUGUACCCUUGGGAGGAUGUCCUGCCUGUGAUGUUGUCUUUCAGGGGAAGAAGAAUGGUUGAGAAUUGAGGGUAUAUUAAACAUUUACUCCUCCAGAUUUUUCAAGAUUUCUGUUAAGCCAGAUCAGAAGAAAGCCAUCUAUUUGGAUUGCAUCACUCUAACCUGGUAAGUCGAAUUGUCUACACAGAAUUAUAAUUUCACGAUAUGUCCAGAUUACUUACCGAGAGCCAAUUUGAGACACAAACAGGACUAGUAAAACAUCUUUGCACUGUGGGUAGUGUUGCUAUCAAAGACCUUAUACAUUAUGUCAUUCAAGAACCUUUAUAUUAAGAUCCUUAUGGAAAAUCUUUCCCAAAGUUUAACCCUAUGAUAAAGGGUUUUUUUCUCCUGGUAACAUAGUGGGCAAUUGGGAACUGUUUAACCCAAUGCAUUGAUUUCAUUGAUUGUUUUGGUUGCUGAGAAGUAUGGAUGCUCAGAAUAGGUUUUCUUGUUUUCAACUGCUAAUUCCUUUAUUUAAAUUGUAAUAAAUGUUUCCCUUUACUUCUUUCCUUUUUCUUUUUAAGAAAUUUAAUGUAUUUCAUAAUAAAUUAUAAGUUAUCAAUAGAUCAAUUAGCAUAGAAUAGUUUGGAAUAAUGCUUAGAGAUCUCCCAUUGAAAAAG
rnacentral:lncRNA from 10 species